rnacentral:misc_RNA from 1 species
GAUGAAGAACGUAGCGAAAUGCGAUAAGUAGUGUGAAUUGCAGAAUUCAGUGAAUCAUCGAGUCUUUGAACGCACAUUGCGCCCCCUGGUAUUCCGGGGGGCAUGCCUGUCCGAGCGUCAUUGCUGCCCUCAAGCACGGCUUGUGUGUUGGGCUCCGUCCCCCCGGGGACGGGCCCGAAAGGCAGCGGCGGCACCGAGUCCGGUCCUCGAGCGUAUGGGGCUUUGUCACCCGCUCUGUAGGCCCGGCCGGCGCCAGCCGACAACCCAUCAUCCUUUUCAGGUUGACCUCGGAUCAGGUAGGGAUACCCGCUGAACUUAAGCAUAUCAAUAAGCGGAGGA